rnacentral:rRNA from 1 species
AUGAGUUGCUACGUGGUCAGCUCUAGCGGCGUUGCGUUCUGGUUCGCCGUAGAGGAGAGGAUCGGGCACCGGAGGGUUUGCGCAUGCAAGAUGUUCGAUGUCGGUCCCCAGAGGAGGAGGGUGGGGAGGCGCCUGGUGGGUUUUGCCAAGAAGAGGAGGCGUUCCAAGAGGCAGCAGCCAUGGUGGAAGGCGUGGUUCUCUGAUUGGAACGAUGAGGAAGAGAGCCUCGCCGGCUGGAGGGAGGAUGAUGAAUUGCUCCAGCAGGUUGUUAGCAACGAAGACCUGUCGGAGGAUGACAAGUUUCAGACAUGGAAGAGCAAGGCCGAGGCGAUUGUCGACCUGCGGGAAGCCCAGCAGGAUGCCGAAAAUGCAGAAGGGCGGUCAUGGGAGGAUUGGAUAGGUUGGGGCAGCACAUCCGGCGAUGGUGACUGGGGCGGGGGUGGGAGCUUGUCGGACCAGAUAACUGAUGAUCCGACGGAGAUAGUGAGGGACAAGGGCAUCGCUGAAGCUUUUAGGGACUCUAUUGAUGAAGAUUACAACGACAUGUUGUUUGAGGACCGGGUUUUUCUAUACGCUUCGACGAAAUCGGCCAAAUUCCUAGCAUUGUUGAUCGUUGUUCCAUGGGUGUUGGAUCUUCUAGUACAUGACUAUGUUAUGAUGCCAUUUCUAGACAGGUAUGUCGAGAAGGUACCACUCGCCGCUGAAAUGCUUGAUGUAAGACGCAGCCAGAAGAUUCAGAUGAUAAAGGACCUAAAUAUUGAGAAAGCAAGAUUCCGUUUUGAAGUAGAGAUCGGUAAAUCUCCUCCACUUUCUGAUGAGGAGUUCUGGUCAGAGUUGCGGGAAAAAGCGGUAGAGCUGAGGGAUGAAUGGAGAUUAGAAAACCGACAAGCAUUUGCAAAUAUCUGGUCUGAUAUGGUUUAUGGGGUUGCCCUAUUCCUUCUUAUGUACUUUAACCAGAGUAAAGUUGCAAUGAUAAAGUUCACAGGAUAUAAGUUGCUAAACAAUAUCUCGGACAGUGGGAAGGCUUUUCUUAUCAUUUUAGUGUCAGAUAUCCUUCUAGGGUACCAUUCGGAGGCAGGUUGGCAUUCAUUGGUGGAAAUUAUUCUUGACCACUAUGGACUGGAAACAGAUCAAGCUGCAGUCACCUUUUUCGUUUGUCUGGUUCCAGUUGCCCUGGACGUAUUUAUAAAGUUUUGGGUGUACAAAUACCUUCCAAGACUAUCACCUAGUGUGGGAAACAUCUUGGAUGAAAUAAGGCGUCACUAG